UUAUAGUCUCGUAGAUCCAGGUGUUUAUACGGACAGACGGACAUGUCUAUAUCGUCUCUUCUGUUGACACUGAUCAAGAAAAAUAUACAUAUUUCAGGGUCGGAGUUGCCUCCUUCUGCAUGUUACACACAUUUCCUGGAAGCACAAAGUUAUAAGACUCUUCUACCCUAUGGGUAGCGGGUAUAAAAAUAAAACAUUGGCGACAUUGUAAUGCAAUCUGUGAAGAGUUUUCAUCAGUGGGGCGUAGACAAAACGCGUUUACCGUUUCUUGUUAGCCGUUCACUAUUGAAAGCCAAAUACUAUAGACAGAUGGAUAGACGGCAGCUCUGCUUUGAUACGCUUUACAUAGCUGUAAAAUGCAGCUGCCACACACAAAGAUGCAGAUACAAAUUCAGCUUGAAAUGCUUUUAGAUACAAUUCGUAUGGAAAUUUAUUGUGGUCUAGUAAUCUCAUUGUGGCCAAUCCAGAGUGUAAUCAGUUGCAGACAAGGUCAUAUUCAAUUCGAGAUAAAACGAGAAGUAUAUUAGAUCUACAUAGAGAACAUGUUCUAAAAUCUAAACAAUAAUAUCUUGAAAUAAUGCCAAAAUAAUACUGAAAAUCGAUCGAUAUUGCAUUAAAUAUAUAUUUUAUGGCAAUAUGUUAGCAAAUGUAAUUAUUUAUUUUCGUUGCGGUUGAAUUUUUGCCGGAAUAGCCAAUUGUGUCUCCAAUUGCGAAACAAAUGCGUACAAAUUUGAAUUAAAUGACUACUUUGGAGGUUUUUCAAAAUCCUAUAAAAGACGACAUAACUCAGGCGAUAUCAACAGAUUUCUUUAUAUUUCUUUGCAAUCCAAUUUGAGAAUAUGAAAUUGCUUAUUCUUAUGGCUUUAUGCCUUUUUUCUCUCGCUGUACCUUCAAAGGCUUAUGGCCGGGGAGGUUAUCGCCCUCCCCGGCGAGGAGGUGGAAUUGGAUGGCCACCUAUUGAUUUCAAUGUUAAUGUACCUCCUCCUGACUAUAAUAAUGACUUUGCGAAUGACUAUUAUGCAAUCUAUUAAGUCAUCCAAAAGCCCUAUAUGCAAAAUUCAUUUAAAAAAAUUAAUUAAAUUCUUAAUCUUCGUAUUUUCUUUGGUGACAUAAAAAAAAUAAUAAACUGCAUUGAAAAAUUUAA